UCCCUGAUUCAGUUUUCUACCUUGUUUAGAGGACUCAAUAACCCAAGAGCUUAGAAUUACUCGAGUGAAACCUGUUGAUUUAGUGCUAGUGACACUUAUGUACGUCGAAGCCAGCGCAUUUCACAAACAACCUGAUGGCCUCAUAAAGCCAACUAAGCAGAGACGCUCAUCAUUCUCUUCCUUGCUUUUUUGGCAGAACCUCACUGAGAAGGCUGUGGGGUUCCAGCAACUCCUCCAGUCAUCAGCAGCUAUUCCAGGAUUGUGAAUGGGGAGGAAGCAGUGCCUCAUUCCUGGCCCUGGCAAGUGUUUCUGCAGGAUGUGAACGGUCUCUGCUUCUGCACUGGCUCUCUAUUUAAUGAUUGGUGGGUUUUAUCUGCUGCCCACUGCAAUGUCAGGUA